rnacentral:rRNA from 1 species
UACGUAGGUGACCAGCGUUGUCCGGAUUUACUGGGCGUAAAGAGCGCGCAGGCGGUCGUUCAAGUCGGGUGUGAAAGCCCCCGGCUCAACUGGGGAGGGGCAUUCGAUACUGAUCGACUUGAAGGCAGGAGAGGGAAGUGGAAUUCCCGGUGUAGUGGUGAAAUGCGUAGAUAUCGGGAGGAACACCAGUGGCGAAGGCGACUUCCUGGCCUGUUCUUGACGCUGAGGCGCGAAAGCUAGGGGAGCAAACGGG